rnacentral:rRNA from 1 species
GCAAGUCGAACGGCAGCACGGGUGCUUGCACCUGGUGGCGAGUGGCGAACGGGUGAGUAAUAUAUCGGAACGUACCUUAUUGUGGGGGAUAACGCAGCGAAAGCUGUGCUAAUACCGCAUAAUCCCUUAGGGGGAAAGCGGGGGACCGUAAGGCCUCGCGCAAUUAGAGCGGCCGAUACCUGAUUAGCUAGUUGGUGAGGUAAAGGCUCACCAAGGCAACGAUCAGUAGCUGGUCUGAGAGGACGAUCAGCCACACUGGGACUGAGACACGGCCCAGACUCCUACGGGAGGCAGCAGUGGGGAAUUUUGGACAAUGGGGGCAACCCUGAUCCAGCAAUGCCGCGUGAGUGAAGAAGGCCUUCGGGUUGUAAAGCUCUUUUGUCAGGGAAGAAACAGCAGCUCUAACACAGUCUGCGAAUGACGGUACCUGAAGAAUGAGCACCGGCUAACUACGUGCCAGCAGCCGCGGUAAUACGUAGGGUGCAAGCGUUAAUCGGAAUUACUGGGCGUAAAGCGUGCGCAGGCGGUUAUGUAAGACAGGCGUGAAAUCCCCGGGCUUAACCUGGGAAUUGCGCUUGAGACUGCAUAGCUAGAGUAUGUCAGAGGGGGGUAGAAUUCCACGUGUAGCAGUGAAAUGCGUAGAGAUGUGGAGGAAUACCAAUGGCGAAGGCAGCCCCCUGGGAUAAUACUGACGCUCAUGCACGAAAGCGUGGGGAGCAAACAGGAUUAGAUACCCUGGUAGUCCACGCCCUAAACGAUGCUGACUAGUUGUUCGGGAAUUUAUUCCUGAGUAACGUAGCUAACGCGUGAAGUCAGCCGCCUGGGGAGUACGGUCGCAAGAUUAAAACUCAAAGGAAUUGACGGGGACCCGCACAAGCGGUGGAUGAUGUGGAUUAAUUCGAUGCAACGCGAAAAACCUUACCUACUCUUGACAUGCCAC